AUUGAACGCUGGCGGCAGGCCUAACACAUGCAAGUCGAGCGAGCGGCGGACGGGUGAGUAAUGUCUGGGAAACUGCCUGCUGGAGGGGGAUAACUACUGGAAACGGUAGCUAAUACCGCAUACCCUCAGAUGUGCCCAGAUGGGAUUAGCUAGUAGGUGGGGUAACGGCUCACCUGGGCGACGAUCCCUAGCUGGUCUGAGAGGAUGACCAGCGACACUGGGACUGAGACACGGGCCAGACUCCUACGUGAGGCAGCAGUGGGGAAUAUUGAACAAUGGGCGCAAGCCUGAUGCAGCCAUGCCGCGUGUGUGAAGAAGGCCUGCGGGUUGUAAAGCACUUUCAGCGGGGAGGCGUUACCCGCAGAAGAAGCACCGGCUAACUCCGUGCCAGCAGCCGCGGUAAUUC
rnacentral:rRNA from 1 species